GGAAGUGAUCCCUCUGUGGGCACACCUUCUUCCUGCCGGCCACCUCCAGUAGCCAUGUUGAUGAGGUCAAGGCCCUUCUACCUUCGUCGUGGUUGAUGGCUGGGACCCAGAGUUGUGGAAUCGCGUGACGUCGCAGCGCGGCGCCGCCGCGCAGUAGAGUCUGGACUAGAUCAGUUUCUGACGCACAAAUUCAAGGUCGGGGAGGUUGGUUGGGAGGCAUGGAAGAAAGGCCAUCCAAGAACAUAGCAAGAAGACAGUCAUCUCUAAGCCAGGAAUAGAAGUGUUGCCAGAAACCAGCCUUGUUGGUGGCACCUUGACCUUAAUCUUCCAGCCUGCAGAACUAUCAAUACCCAGUUGUUCCAGGGAGCCUGGGUAGCUCAGUUGGUCAAGUGUCUGACUUUGGCUUAGGUCAUGAUCUCAUGGUUCAUGAGUUCAAGCCCCAUAUUGGGUUUGCUGCUGUCAGCAAAGAGCCUGCCUCAGAUCUUCUGUCCCCCUACCUCAGCCCUUCCCACU